UUCCCAAAACCCGUUACUUUAUUAAUUAGUAUAAGCUGAUGAAUUCACUUAUUGAGUCGCCAACUUAACGAUGAGGUGUUAGACUAGCCUGCCAUAUAUACUUUUGGCGGUAAAUAUUUCAAUUUCGUUAGGUAUUUUUAUCUAACUAAUGUACACGUUUCUAGCAACCUGAAAUGUAGGCUUGUAGAACUAGUUGAAAACAGAACGUUUGGAUUAUAUGAAUGAUAAUGAAUACACCGAGCAUCUUUUAUUAGGCAGACUCAACAAUUGACAACUUUGCAAUGUCCAUUGAAUCCUAAAAAUAAAAAUAGACAGGUAUAUAUACCUAUAAUUUUUUUGGUGGCUAACAACCUAACUUUUUCAAUUAAAACAAUUAACCGGCAUAGUCCUUCGUAAAUUCCAUGCACACUUGAUAAAUUUAAAUAUGUUUCAUCGCGGAUAUUCCGUUUACUGUUUUAU